AUGGUUCAAACUGCUCAUAAAAGGAGACUGCCAACCAUCGCCUUAAAACUGGACUUCGAGAAGGCUUUUGAUUCAGUAAGUUGGGACUGCCUUUUUCAGGUUCUGGAAGCCAGAGUUUUUCCCGCAAGAUGGGCACAGUGGAUCAAUGCACUACUAUCCUUGGGCAGUUCUCAAGUGCUUCUCAAUGGAGAGCUUGGGGACCCUUCUGUUGCUAAAAAAGGCUUUAGGCAAGGGGAUUCCUUGUCACCGUAUCUGUUUCUGCUGGUUGCUGAUGUGCUUUAG
rnacentral:rRNA from 1 species